GGCAAAUAACAUAAGAGGACUAAGGACAGCCAAGCAUACAAUGAUGCAUGGCAGUGACAGCUGACCUCAACGUGGGGAAGACACAGGGGUUGUUGAGGGCUCAAGUAAGCUGGAGAGCAUGUGUCCUAUCAAAAGGAGGAAACUACUAUUCAGCUACAGUGCUGCUGACUGAAUGGGAAUGCAAGCCCACUUCGUGAAUUUUCCUGAAAAAAAAAAA
rnacentral:lncRNA from 1 species